UACGAAGGACUCGAGCGUUAUCCGGAUUUAUUGGGUUUAAAGGGUGCGUAGGCGGAUUUACAAGUCCGUGGUGAAAUCUCCCAGCUCAACUGGGAAACUGCCAUUGAAACUGUUUAUCUUGAGUACAUUUGAGGCGGGCGGAAUGUGUCAUGUAGAGGUGAAAUUCUUAGAUAUGACACAGAACACCAAUUGCGAAGGCAGCUCGCUAAGCUGUAACUGACGCUGAGGCACGAAAGCGUGGGGAUCAAACAGG
rnacentral:rRNA from 1 species